AUAAUGUAUAUAUUCAUGGUGCCCAGUGCCAGCACUGCCUGUGAGUGUGUUGGCUGAUUGUCCUGCACAGUGACCUGUAAUGAUGCUGAGCUGUAGUAAUUGCCAAGAAAUGCAUGGAUGGCUGUCUCACUGUUUAGCCUUUGUGAUAGGAAAGGAACCACUGGAGACUUGGAGAUUCUGCCAGAUGCAGAAGUAGCCUGCAAAGAAUGGAAUCAUCCACACUUCUCUGAAUAUAUCAGCUUGUAAUA
rnacentral:lncRNA from 12 species